rnacentral:tRNA from 1 species
ACCUGGGUGGCUCAGUCGGUUGAGCGUCUGACUUCGGCUCAGGUCAUGAUCUCACGGUCUGUGGGUUCAAGCCCCGCAUCGGGCU